rnacentral:rRNA from 1 species
CCCUUAGAUGUCCUGGGCCGCACGCGUGCUACACUGACGGAUACAACAAGUUUGCUCUUUUACCUGGACUGAAAAGUUUGGGAAAUCUAGCAAUGUCCGUCGUGAUGGGGAUCGACCCUUGCAAUUUGGUCGUGAACGAGGAAUUCCUUGUAAGCGCGAGUCAUCAUCUCGCGUUGAAUACGUCCCUGCCCUUUGUACACACCGCCCGUCGCUCCUACCGAUGGAUGGUCCGGUGAAAUCUUCGGAUGCUCCUUUUUUUGUUUGAAUGAUCUUCGGGUCUUUUGACAGGGAACAGAAGUUGAUUAAACUUUAUCAUCUAGAGGAAGGAGAAGUCGUAACA